CAUUAGCUACAACUUCUACUGUGAUAAUGAAGAAAAAUUGUGAGAAGAGAAAUCUUUGCCCUAUUUCUGAUCUCAGCAAGAAAAAUUUGAGCUUCUUAUCAUGCACAGUGGUGGUAUCCAUCAGUGUCUUGUAGAUGUUUUUUCAAGGCAUACUACUGAGAAUGUCCAUUAAUGGAAUGUUGCUCCAAGAAUGAUGCAGACAGGGUCAGCUGAAGAAGCCAUGAUGCAGCCAGACUCAUGGCCCCUAAUAUUGAAGAUAUUUGAAGUGUUUAUAUUCUGAGAUGGUUCAUUAUGCAGUGAUAAUUGAACCAGGAUGAUGAUUUCUGCGAAGACAUCAGGACCUGGGAGUGAGGGGAGGACAAGGAGCUAUGCUGCUGCCUCUUGGACAUCAGAGAGCCCCUGUGAUGGAGGUGCGGAAGCCACACCAGCCCCAUGCACAGGGUGGCAACACGUGAACUGGUACUCUUCCUGAUAAACGCUUCUGCUUCCAGCCGGCUGCACAGUCAUGAAGGGUAAACAAGCGGUGUUCCGAAGGGGAC